UUCCGUAGGUGAACCUGCGGAAGGAUCAUUACAUUCAGUAGCCUAGCUACUUGUUUACACCCUUGUUUUUUGCGUACCUAUUGUUUCCUCGGUGGGCUUGCCUGCCGGUUGGACAAAACCUAUAACCUUUUUAAAUCUUCAAUCAGCGUCUGAAUUAUACAUAAUAAUUACAACUUUCAACAACGGAUCUCUUGGUUCUGGCAUCGAUGAAGAACGCAGCGAAAUGCGAUAAGUAGUGUGAAUUGCAGAAUUCAGUGAAUCAUCGAAUCUUUGAACGCACAUUGCGCCCCUUGGUAUUCCAUGGGGCAUGCCUGUUCGAGCGUCAUUUGUACCUUCAAGCUUUGCUUGGUGUUGGGCGUUUUGUCUUUUCUCUUGUGAUUAGACUCGCCUUAAAGUCAUUGGCAGCCAGUGUUUUUGGUAGUAAGCGCAGCACAUUUUGCGUCUUAGUCCUUAAAUAGCGGCAUCCAUAUAGCUACUUUUUCACUUUUGACCUCGGAUCAGGUAGGGUUCC
rnacentral:sRNA from 1 species